rnacentral:rRNA from 1 species
CACACGACUCUCGGUAACGGAUAUCUCGGCUCUUGCAUCGAUGAAGAACGUAGCAAAAUGCGAUACCUGGUGUGAAUUGCAGAAUCCCGCGAACCAUCGAGUCUUUGAACGCAAGUUGCGCCCGAGGCCACUCGGCCGAGGGCACGCCUGCCUGGGCGUCACGC